CACCGACUCCCUAACAAUGAAAAAGGUGGGCUUUCCUUUCCUCCGGAGGAUCCACCCCCUUACGCGACUACGCCGUGCCUCCGAGCGCAGAAAGAACGCCCUUCCCCGCCGAUGGAAACCCGCCUCCCCGGACAGGAACCGUGAAUGCUUUGGCUGCACAGGCGGUGUGUUUGGGGGUCAUCGUGUUGCUGUAGGAUGAAGUGCCAGCUGAUGAGGCUGGAGGAAUUUCUUUGGACACAGCCAGACAAACAUUCAUCCUACUGCUGCCAAACAGUCAUAUGUGCCCAAGCCAGGACGCCACCGCCUCUGGCAGUGUAGUAUAAUGGGUAGAGAGCUGGUCUUGUAACCUUACACAGGUUUGAGUCCCAGGUUCAAUACUGCCGUUGUACCCUUGAGCAUGGUAACCUGCAUUGCUUCAGUAUAUACCCAGCUGUAUAAAUAGAUGCAAUGUAAAAGCUAUGUAAGUAAAAAAAUAAAUAAA